rnacentral:misc_RNA from 1 species
AAGUCGUAACAAGGUUUCCGUAGGUGAACCUGCGGAAGGAUCAUUAAUGAAUUACUGCAGUGGUUGUGCUGGCUGUUUCACAGUAUGUGCACGCCCUGCUACAUUCUAUCUACCCAUGUGCACUUAUGAGCAGUCCUGCUCCAGCUCUUCUCCCUCAUGCAAUAUGUAAAAGUAUGGCAAGGGUUUAGAGUUCUUUAUAAACAUAAACCUAGACUUAUAUAUUCAAUGUCUUUAUUGACAGAGAAAAAUAAACUUAUACAACUUUCAACAACGGAUCUCUUGGCUCUC